AUACGGAGGGUGCAAGCGUUACUCGGAAUCACUGGGCGUAAAGCGCGCGCAGGCGGCUUGAUAAGUUGGAUGUGAAAGCCUACGGCUCAACCGUAGAACUGCAUCCAAAACUGUCAAACUAGAGUCUGGGAGGGGAAGAUGGAAUUAGUUGUGUAGGGGUAAAAUCCGUAGAGAUAACUAGGAAUACCAAAAGCGAAGGCGAUCUUCUGGAACAGUACUGACGCUGAGGCGCGAAAGCGUGGGGAGCAAACAGGAUUAGAUACCCCUGUAGUCC
rnacentral:rRNA from 1 species